rnacentral:rRNA from 1 species
GCAUAUCAAUAAGCGGAGGAAAAGAAACCAACAGGGAUUGCCCUAGUAACGGCGAGUGAAGCGGCAACAGCUCAAAUUUGAAAGCUGGCCUUCGGGUCCGCAUUGUAAUUUGUAGAGGAUGCUUUUGGUGCGGUACCUUCCGAGUUCCUUGGAACAGGACGCCUUAGAGGGUGAGAGCCCCGUACGGUUGGAUGCCUAGCCUCUGUAAAGCUCCUUCGACGAGUCGAGUAGUUUGGGAAUGCUGCUCUAAAUGGGAGGUAAAUUUCUUCUAAAGCUAAAUAUUGGCCAGAGACCGAUAGCGCACAAGUAGAGUGAUCGAAAGAUGAAAAGCACUUUGAAAAGAGGGUUAAAUAGCACGUGAAAUUGUUGAAAGGGAAGGAUUUAUGACCAGACCUUUGCCUGGCGGAUCAUCCAGUGUUCUCACUGGUGCACUUCGCCAGGCUGAGGCCAGCAUCGGUUUCGGUAGGGGGAUAAAGGCUUCGGGAACGUGACCCCUUCGGGGGUGUUAUAGCCCGUUGCGCAAUACCCUUACUGGGACCGAGGUCCGCGCUCUGCAAGGAUGCUGGCAUAAUGGUUAUCAAUCACCCGUCUUGAAACACGGACCAAGGAGUCGAACAUUUGUGCGAGUGUUUGGGUGUCAAACCCUCACGCGUAAUGAAAGUGAACGGAGGUGAGAGCCUUAGGGUGCAUCAUCGACCGAUCCUGAUGUCUUCGGAUGGAUUUGAGUAGGAGCAUAAAUGUUCGGACCCGAAAGAUGGUGAACUAUGCGUGGAUAGGGUGAAGCCAGAGGAAACUCUGGUGGAGGCUCGCAGCGGUUCUGACGUGCAAAUCGAUCGUCAAAUCUGCGCAUGGGGGCGAAAGACUAAUCGAACCAUCUAGUAGCUGGCUACGCG